ensembl:lncRNA
GGCAAAAGGAGAGGAUGUUUACGUUUAUUUGUAUGAGUUCUAAAGGCAAAAGAGAUGCAAUCGAAAAGAGAGACUUUGAUAGCAGUGUUAGUAGACAGAGAGAGAGAGAGAGAUGGACUAGGUUGAUGAAAUGGCAAGGGCGAGUGAUCAAUCAUGGGUAGACAAAUGUGUGUGAGCAAGUGCAGAUGCAGAACUCCACAUAUGCAUAUAUAUAUAGCGAUGUGCAUCUGUGUAUGCCAGAGUUGGAAGUGUGUGCAAGCUUCUUCAUCAUGUGCGAUCUGCUUGAACACAUGCACAUAAAUGUUAAACAAAUGUGUUUAAGAUAAUAAUAAAAAACAAUUAUUCUCUCUCCUCACACCAAGUACCAAAAUAUGAACACACACACACCCAUGUACACACACAUACGCACACAUACAUACGGACUUACACACACACGCCCUCACACACUUACAUAUAGACACACGCGCAAACACAUUCGUACACAAACACACAUGCACGGACACGGUGACCCCAUGACGUAAACACACGCACUACAGGUAAUCUACUGAACCCAGAACCUGUCCGCAACAACAACAUCACAAAGAAAACAAACCAACUGUUGUUGCUGAUCUAACAGUCACAGAGCUGUCCGUCACUCUCCGAGGUGAGACAGGUUGGAAGCAAAGCCAUUGCUUGAAUACCAGGCUGGGCCUUUCAUCACGGGUGCUUCAUUAGACAUCACGUAAAUAAAUACGAAAUAAGUAUGAACCUUUGGCAUUAACCGGCCAUGUCAGUUCCCGAGGGGGCGUAUCAAGCUACCCAAGGAGGAGGAGAGAGAGAAGCCCCAGAUUGAGACAAGAAAGACAGCAGGUCAAGAGGACUGAGGCCAUAUGGUUGUGAUGGCUUGGUAACACUUUACAAUAGGGGUUUAUUAAUGAGCGUUUCAUUAACAUGAAUUCAUUAAGUAGUAAGGAUUACUAUAGGGCUAAGGGUUAGUGUAAGUGAUAGUGGAUUAAGGUUAAACCUAUUCCAAAAUGUAAAAAUAAAAACCUUUAACCUGAGCACCAUUA